CGUGCCUAAUACAUGCAAGUCGAACGCUAUUGUGGUUGAAAUGAUAUGAAGUAACUUGUUCAGUAUUUGAUUUUCAACAUUGCAAUGAGUGGCGAACGGGUGAGUAACACGUGGGAGACCUACCUCUUAGCAGGGGAUAACAUUUGGAAACAAAUGCUAAUACCGUAUAAUAAUUAAAACCGCAUGGUUUUAGUUUAAAAGAUGGUCUUGCUAUCACUAAGAGAUGGUCCCGCGGUGUAUUAGUUAGUUGGUGAGGUAAUGGCUCACCAAGACAAUGAUACAUAGCCGAGUUGAGAGACUGACCGGCCACAAUGGGACUGAGACACGGCCCAUACUCCUACGGGAGGCAGCAGUAGGGAAUCUUCCACAAUGGACGAAAGUCUGAUGGAGCAACGCCGCGUGUGUGAUGAAGGGUUUCGGCUCGUAAAACACUGUUGUAAGAGAAGAAUGACAUUGAGAGUAACUGUUCAAUGUGUGACGGUAUCUUACCAGAAAGGAACGGCUAAAUACGUG
rnacentral:rRNA from 1 species